UGGCCCGCCCAGCCCGAGUGCCGCCGCACAUACGCCGCCACCACCAGCCCCGCAGAGCUCCCGACCCCGAACUCCUCCUCCUGUGCGCCUCCUCGUCGGCCUCCUCGCCCGUCGUCCGGUGACCGGCGUCGCCGCCGAAGACCACCUACGUCACGCCGCCGCUCCACUGCCUUUUCUCUCUCCCCCCUCUCUCUCUCUCUCUCUCUCUCUCUAAUCUCCUUGCCUCCUUCUCUCUAGGAGCACAGCGCCAGCACCAUGGAUGCCCAGUGCUCGAGCUCACCUUGGAGGUUCGAACGCCGCCACGGGACCUCCACCGGCCAGAUCCGGCGCCUCCCUCCCGGAUCCGUGCGCCCUGCACCUCCUCUACCCGAUCUGGCGCCGCCCAACCUGCCAUGACCUCCACCAUGGAGCUCCUGUAGCUCGUCCCCUGCCUCCUCUUCAUGUGCUCGAGGGAGACGCGCCUCCAGCGCAUCGAGCACAAGGCGCAACCACGCCAAGGUCUACCCCGGCCACCUCUGCGUCCAGCCGGCCUACCCCGGGUCCCUGCAGUUAUUUGUCAUUGGAUACUUUAGAAACAUUCUGUAAAUUGGUAUCAGUUGCACACUUUUUGUUUAUCUCCGUAUCUAUGAUGAUUACCCACUCCAAAGCAUCCCCGCGUUAAUCUGGAAUAAAAGGAGAAGAGCAUAACCAGGAUUUUUAUUCAAUGGUGGUUGAUUAGUAUGUAUGAUCCAAUCAAAUGUGUCCAGCUGUUCUCGUGUUCAUCUCCAACCUUUGAAACUCAGUUUUCAAGUUUAGAAAUCCAACAUGUAUAUUCCAGUACAUGAUUUUAUUUUAUGAUGGUUUAUUUAGUAGGAAUGAUCUAAUCAAACAUGUCCAACUCUCCUGACAGUGUUCCUCUCCAACCAUUGAGGCUCAGUUUCCAAGUUCUGACUUAGCAUCAAUCCAUCAUGUAAAUUCCCAGUACAUGACUUUAUCUCGCAGUGGUUAAUUUAGCAAAGGAGUUGUACCCCGUUGUUUGAAGCGGGUCAGGCGCCGCCUCUGUCUGCGAGGCUUCCACAAGUAAUAUAGUGGCGGCCUGGCGCCGCAAAAAUUUGCUACCUCGACGCCAUUCAACUUCCUCACCAGUCGCUCCUAUGCCCACUCACAGGCAAGUAAAACUUUGCAUCCUUCAAUAAUCUGCUAUUGAUCAAAUACUCGUAUAAUUUAUCUCAAGUAUCACAGUCCAGAUCAUUAAUGUAUUGUUUGUGUUUCUAUCAUGCUAGAUUUUGUUUCAAGUUCAUUUCAUGUGUAAGCAAAUUUAGAGUGUUGAAGUCGUAGUGAAUUAAAUAACAUUUGGAACCUUUGUCUAACAAUCUUUGUCCAAGUCCGAGAUGAACAGGGCAAUCGGUUUUCCAAGAUUGAAAAUUCAUGAAUAAACAGUUGUGAUGCGAAUUUACAGAACCUGAAACUUGAUGAUAGUUACUUCAGUGUGCGCGCACCUUUUGCCAUAUUUUACGUACUGUACAACUACUUUGCUUUUGUCCGAUGAAAACUGUUUGCGACACCUGGCAGCUUGGCCUCCUGGGAAGAAGAGACGAGGGAGAGAGAGGAGGUGAGAUGGAGAGAAGAGAAGGAGGCGGGACGACUUAGACCAGUGUGGCCCUCACUUCAUUACUGCUUUGCCUUGGUUGGCACCGGACACACAGGCCCCGCACAAGCGUGGUCUCGGAUGUCUCUGCUAUGGGAACACAUUGCCGGAUCGCUCUCAUCUAUGACUGUUCCUAUUCCGUGCAUCAUGCCACUCCGAUGGUGUAAAGCUAGCUGUCGUGAUUGUUUGGGUGGUGCACAGCCAAUGUUUGUUGGAAUGCCUAUGCGACAACAGGUAAGUGAUUGACUUUGCAGCAACAAUUACUGAUGAAGAUUGCGAGCAGGUUCCUCUUUUAGCACGACCGGCUGAGUUCCUUAGUUAAAGAUUUUUUUUACUGAAUUGGGAUGCUUUGCCUGCAUUUAAAGUGGAUAUUGUUGAUUGAUAAGUGUUGACAGUUACUAGCGUUGUUGAUGUUUCAUAGUAUUUUUUUUGGUAGCUCACAACCUCAUGUAGUGCUUGAGAAAACCUGAGAAUAUUGAGAAGCUUCGUGCUGCGAGUGCGAGGAGAUGAACAAGUACUUCUCUCGCUGCAAGGAAUCAACACCGUCUCAACGGCGGCAACAGCGGAUACAGAACAACUGAUGCGGCCUGAAGUGGACCUCAUUCAACCUUAAUUCCAGGUAUAGUAAUAACUAUCUUGCUGCUUAAUUACCUCUGCUACUAUAUAGCCAUUAGAACUGAUCCACGUAUACUGUAUAGGUAAUUAGCUUUUGCUGGGUCCAGUUGAGUAUCUCCUGAUCUUUUGAACUUCUUUUUUCAUGCACAUUAUUCGAUGGUGUUUUGAAAAGGCAUACGGCAGUUGUUGUUUUGGAGUUUUGAAACUAUUUCUCUUGCUAUUCUUGCCUCGCAGAAGGCAGGCAAUGCGCGGCAAGCUAUUUCACCUACUUGUUAGAUAUUGCAUCCUUAUUUAUUCUCAACACAUGACAAGUUGAGUUGUUUCUAUUCAUAUAUACUGUAGUAGGAUACACACACAGAUAUUUUGUAAUGUUGUAGCCAACAAAGAGGCACAAAAGAGCAGAUGCAAGUUGCUGUCAACUGGCGCUCCAUCUGGAUUCGGAAUUCAUUUUCAUAUGGGAUGCAUUUUGUGCAGUAAAAAAACCAUUGGCUAGGAAGAAAUAAAAUCAUGAAUUUCCAGCCAAUCAACUACCAAAUAUAGGCCCUUGACAGCAGCAUUAAUUCUGUCUCAUACUUAAAUUUAGUUACGGCAUGUUGGCUUAGGUUGUUCAUAUAAAUUUUCUUAUUAAUUAUGUGGCAUAUCACUUAAUGAGGUUGCCUGUGUGGUAUAUGUUUGGGGCAACUCGGUUUUUUUCUAGAGGCCAGAGCUCAGUGUCUAAUCGCAUCAAAGCAUGCUGCUGUUUAGCAUGAUUGGCAUAGCUUACAGUUUUUGUUAAACUGAAUUAGCGAAUAUAUGUUGCUUUUUCACGUGCGCACCAUGUCAUUUGAGACAAUUUCAAGAUCUUAGAAAUUAGCCCCAAGCUUCAAAAUUCCAACAAACUAAUACAAAGAUGAGA